rnacentral:lncRNA from 1 species
UGGAAAUGGAAUGGUUUUGAUCCACCUGAUUUGUAUGCUAGGAACUGAACUCAGGUCCUCUGUAAAAUCAGCAAGAACUCUCAACUCCUGAGGCAGUGCCCCGCAAACCCUGCUCCAUUUGUAAAGCUGCUUCUUGCUGUUUUAAUGGUGAUUCAAACAUUGAAGAAGAAAGUUUCUGAGCAGCGAUCCACAGAACUUUCUCAAACUGAGCAGAACUUUGGAGUAGAAGGUUUUGGUAGGAAGGCAUCAUCCCAAAAUGUCAUCAGAACUGGAGGAACUCAAAUUUGAAAUCCAGAAAUGUAAAUUCGAGAGGCAUGAACUUUAUCAAAUCCUGGACCUUUAUAUCUAUGAUGAUUGGGACUACAGGUAGUCAUUAUGCCCAGUAACCUGUUCACUGUCUUGUGCUCUCUCUCUCUCUCUCUGCUAACACCACAUUACCUCAUAUCACGAGAGAGUUUCACCUCUCAUCCUGGAUCUUAAGGAGCUUUGGCAGGCAUUGGCUUGUGAGAUAACCUAGGUGCUGUGUUUUGGGUCAACCUCCUUUGCACUUGUCCCUGAGCUUGUAUUAAGGUAGAUUCUGUCAACAGACAGAAGGACCUGGUCACACUUGAUGCAUCUAAGUGAGGGAAUGAGAUUCCUGUAUGCCAUCACUCUUUUACUCUGAUUUUGUUCAUUAUACACAGAUUCUAUGGCACCUCCAUUGAUGUAAUUGGCAUCCUAAUUGUGUUUGUAUAUGGGAUGGUAUAUAUGUAUGUGAAAGUAUUUGUGGGUUUUAUGCUUACGGUCAGGGAGUGUGGGGAGUUUGAUGGGAUCUAAGGAUCUGUCUGAUGGACAGUUUGCAGGUCAUGAUAGUGUGGAAGCCCACAUGGAUCAACAGAACUCUUUGCAUCUUCUAUUUACUUUGGUGGUAGAUAGGACUCUCCUGAGGGAAGGAGGGGUUACAAAUCCUCUUCCCUGUCAAAGUAGUUAUGCCCUCUGGGAAUUCAGGUAAGAAUAGGA